rnacentral:rRNA from 1 species
GAUGAACGCUGGCGGCGUGCCUAAUACAUGCAAGUCGAGCGAAUGGAUUAAGAGCUUGCUCUUAUGAAGUUAGCGGCGGACGGGUGAGUAACACGUGGGUAACCUGCCCAUAAGACUGGGAUAACUCCGGGAAACCGGGGCUAAUACCGGAUAACAUUUUGAACCGCAUGGUUCGAAAUUGAAAGGCGGCUUCGGCUGUCACUUAUGGAUGGACCCGCCUCGCAUUAGCUAGUUGGUGAGGUAACGGCUCACCAAGGCAACGAUGCGUAGCCGACCUGAGAUGGUGGUCAGCCACACUGAGACUUGUACACAGCCCAGACUCCUACGGGAUGUAGCAGUAGGGAAUCUUCCUCAAUGGACGAAAGUCUGACGGAGCAACGCCGCGUGAGUGAUGAAGGCUUUCGGGUCGUAAAACUCUGUUGUUAGGGAAGAACAAGUGCUAGUUGAAUAAGCUGGCACCUUGACGGUACCUAACCAGAAAGCCACGGCUAACUACGUGCCAGCCGCCGCCGUAA